GACGAACGCUGGCGGCGUGCUUAACACAUGCAAGUCGAACGGACCUUCGGGUUAGUGGCGAACGGGUGAGUAACACGUGGGUGAUCUGCCCUGCACUUUGGGAUAAGCCUGGGAAACUGGGACUAAUACCGGAUAGGACUACGCACUGCAUGGUGUGUGGUGGAAAGCUUUUGCGGUGUGGGAUGGGCCCGCGGCCUAUCAGCUUGUUGGUGGGGUGAUGGCCUACCAAGGCGACGACGGGUAGCCGGCCUGAGAGGGUGACCGGCCACACUGGGACUGAGAUACGGCCCAGACUCCUACGGGAGGCAGCAGUGGGGAAUAUUGCACAAUGGGCGCAAGCCUGAUGCAGCGACGCCGCGUGAGGGAUGACGGCCUUCGGGUUGUAAACCUCUUUCGCCAGGGACGAAGCGCAAGUGACGGUACCUGGAGAAGAAGGACCGGCCAACUACGUGCCAGCAGCCGCGGUAAUACGUAGGGUCCGAGCGUUGUCCGGAAUUACUGGGCGUAAAGAGCUCGUAGGUGGUUUGUCGCGUUGUUCGUGAAAACUCACAGCUUAACUGUGGGCGUGCGGGCGAUACGGGCAGACUGGAGUACUGCAGGGGAGACUGGAAUUCCUGGUGUAGCGGUGGAAUGCGCAGAUAUCAGGAGGAACACCGGUGGCGAAGGCGGGUCUCUGGGCAGUAACUGACGCCGAGGAGCGAAAGCGUGGGGAGCGAACAGGAUUAGAUACCCUGGUAGUCCACGCCGUAAACGGUGGGUACUAGGUGUGGGUUUCCUUCCUUGGGAUCCGUGCCGUAGCUAACGCAUUAAGUACCCCGCCUGGGGAGUACGGCCGCAAGGCUAAAACUCAAAGGAAUUGACGGGGGCCCGCACAAGCGGCGGAGCAUGUGGAUUAAUUCGAUGCAACGCGAAGAACCUUACCUGGGUUUGACAUGCACAGGACGUGCCUAGAGAUAUGUAUUCCCUUGUGGCCUGUGUGCAGGUGGUGCAUGGCUGUCGUCAGCUCGUGUCGUGAGAUGUUGGGUUAAGUCCCGCAACGAGCGCAACCCUUGUCUCAUGUUGCCAGCACGUUAUGGUGGGGACUCGUGAGAGACUGCCGGGGUCAACUCGGAGGAAGGUGGGGAUGACGUCAAGUCAUCAUGCCCCUUAUGUCCAGGGCUUCACACAUGCUACAAUGGCCGGUACAAAGGGCUGCGAUGCCGUGAGGUGGAGCGAAUCCUUUCAAAGCCGGUCUCAGUUCGGAUCGGGGUCUGCAACUCGACCCCGUGAAGUCGGAGUCGCUAGUAAUCGCAGAUCAGCAACGCUGCGGUGAAUACGUUCCCGGGCCU
rnacentral:rRNA from 1 species